AUGCAUCUAGAUUCCACACAGUGUGUAUUAUGUGAUGCUGAGGACUAUGAGGACAGAACUCAUCUUCUUUUUUCUUUCCCAUUCAGCCAGGGAUUUUGGUGGAACAUUGGUCUUGAAUGGAACUCUGAUCUGAAUAUCCAUGAUAUGAUUAUUGAAGCCCAGCAAAGAUAUAAACUUCACCAUUUCAUGGAAAUUCUAAUUAUUGGAUGCUGGAGUAUAUGGAAUCAAAGAAAUGAUCUGAUAUUUGAAGGGAUCCCUUGCUCUAUCAGUGACUGCAGAUAUGAAUUUAUCAAGACUUUCAAGCUGACAAUGCUAAGGGCCAAGCCCAGUUUAAAGGAGGGAAUGUCUUCAUGGAUUGAUAACAUUUAA
rnacentral:rRNA from 1 species